UCCCAAAUAAUGAAUUUCCAUAAGCAUAUUUGAACUUGAAAUAUUUUGCAUUUUAUUUAUAUCAGAAAUCUGGAGUCUGAUAGUAAAAUUCUACUGAUGUCUUUAAUAAAUAUGGGCCAAAAAGAUAAAAAAAUAAAUAAAUAAGUAAAUAUGGGCCAUCUCUCUUAAGCUGAAGCAUUUUUAACCCUAACCAUUUACAUAUGUGAUGAACAUGAACUAUUUUUACUGUCAUAUUAGUGUAAUUUUUAUUACUGAUAUUGGUCUCUAACUGAUUUUUAGCCAAAAUGCAGCCACAAAAGCUACAUGGUUAGUUUAAGCAUGGAGUUACUUGUAAGAGAUUUAAUGGGAGGUUGACUAUUGAGGUGGGCUUUAGAGAAAGUAAACUAGAAAGAAGAUCAAGAAAGACUUUGAAGGAAUAUCAAGGAAAAUCACAGGGAAUCAGCAGCUCUGUUUUCCAUAAAAUAUUUCUCAUAGACAUACUGGUGGCUGAUAUUGACAAAGAACAAAAUUAAGUUGUUGAUAGAAGGGAAUGAGAAGUUUUGUGAUAUGAGCUACUUCAAAUAACUGAAUGGGAAUUACCGAAAGGAAAGAAAGACCUAGUGAAAGCUGGAAGAGAAAGGGAAAGUUAGAAAGAAAAUCCCUUUAAAAACUGUUCUUGAGUUCCAACUUGCCAGUUUUGUCCUCAGAGCCUCUAAUGUAAAUUUACCUCCUGUUUGGGAAUGACACAAAUACAGAAAAGAUAUUAAGUGUUGCCCACAGACAGAGCUAGAGAAAUAGUAGCAAGAAGUUAGUAAGGAGGAGAGGUGAGAGUCAGGAGGGGGUUUCUGACCAGGCAGCUCGACUUGACACAGGUUAUCUUAGACUUCCUGUCGUUCAGUACCUAGCUUUGUUAAAUGAAUGUGGUACACUAAAACAUUUAUGAGGUUGUUCCCAGUAACAGACUUGAGCAAGUUUGGGAUUUAGAGGAAAUUUUUAGAAACGUAAAGCAGAGGGCUUACUUUUUUCUCAAAUAGAGUAAAAAUUAUUUCUGCUCUCAUCCUGCUGAGAAACAGCUAGCAGUGCCAGCUGAACCAGCAUGCAAGAUAUGACUGUAUACCCAUCCUGAUUUGGACUUCUUUGGGUGUCAUCAGUUACGCACCCAUGACGCACAUCUUAGGAACAAGCCCUGGGUUUUUUAUUUAGUGUAGCAAGUCAUGCAGGCGAGUUUUUCUCCUGCAUGCAGAAUUCAUUAUUAAUAGUACAGAUGUACUAGGAAAGGCAUAUUACAAAAUGCUGACUUGCCAGAAAGUGCUGCAUGAUUAGGACAAACUUGUCAAGGAAGUACAAAUGGCCAAUAAACAUGUGAAAAUAUACUCAGCUUUACUAUUCACGAGGACAGAAUCACCAAGGAAUCUGUGAAGGUGCUUCAGAACAAGAGUAAAGGGAAAGGAAAAACAAAGAGCUGGACUCUGCUCUCUCAGCCCUUCUUCAAGCAACAAAGCUCUGUUUGUACACUGGGCAUUUUCUAAAAAUAUAAUCUCACAUGAGAUGUUGCUUUGCUCAAAAUUUUAAGUUAAAAACUAUUCUUCAAAGAAUUAUUGACAAUAAAACCUUUAUACUGGAAUAUAAAUCUUUCUUGAUACAUGGGCUCUUUGCAAAGGUUUUUUUUGGUUUGUUUUUUUAUUUUGUUUUGCAAUCUUAGGAGUUCAUGGCUAUUCAUACACUGGCAUCUGAUCUUGUAAGGGGUGGGAGUGGGCACAACUAAGCAUCAGCAACCAGUGCCUUUACAACCCUUUCUUUUACACUGUUUGUAUCUCUGGUGCAGGAAGAUGAGUAAAUAACAUGCUUUAGUUUAUAACAUACUGUCAUCAUUGUUUUGUGGAAAGCCUUACUACUUUGUAAUGUUAUUUUCCCCUCAUCUUUGGUCUCUUAUUUCUCUCUCUGCUUCUAGUAUAUUUGAUAAAUAUUUGUAAUUUUCCCUAUAAUGGAAAAUAUAUUCAUGUAUAUGUAUAUAUUUAGACUUCACUCUUAAUUUUCAACUCAACACUAAGUUUUUAACUAUUGCAUGGCAUUUUAAUAUGUAUCCCUUCUCUUUUCUUAUGCAUUCCUCUAGUGAUAGAGUGAUAGACAACUGGGUUGCCUCCAACCCCUCAGUACUAUAAACAACACUGUAGUGAACAUCCUCAAGCAUCUUCUUUCAUGAGAAGUGCCAUAAUUCUUCUGAGAUAUGUGCUUCAAGUGUUCCUGCAGGGCUAGAGAGCAUUAUAGCUAUAUUUAACUUCAGUAAGUAUUGCCAUACAGUGUUUUGAAAUAUCCACACCACUCAAGUAACACCCCAUAGUCAUCCUUGCCUUUCCUCUCUUUGCAAAUACUUAGUAUUGUGCUAUUUUCUAAUUUUUACAACAUGAGGUUUUAUUUUUGCUGUAUUUUUCUUCUUUUUACUGAGUUUGAUCAACCUUCAUAUACUUUUUACCUAUACAGAUUUCCUUUUCUGUGAAUUGCUUAUUCAUAUCUUUUGCUCGUUAUUAUUUCAGGUAUCAUUGUUUUCCUUGAAGGGGUUCCUGGUGUAUUCUACAUUAGUCUCUUAUUCAUUGUACAGAUUACAGCAUCUUCUCUGAUGAGUCAUCCUUUUGAUAACUUCUCUGCAGAAUACUUUGUUGAAUAGAAAUCUUUAAUUUUCAUAUAGUCAAAACUGAAAUUUGCCUUUGGUUUGUAAUUUCUAAGAUUAUAAAGAGGUCUUUCUACACAUCUAAAACACAAAAGUCUAUUACCUUUUUCCCCAUUAGUUUACUAUGUUACCAUUUGUAGCUGUAAGUCACCUUUGUACAUCAGGUGUGCAAAAACUAGUUUCUUUAACACUGUCUAUUGAACCAGGAGUCAGAAAAAAUGUUUUUGUAAAGUGCCAGAAGGUACAUAUUUUGAUUUUUGAAACAAAACGAUCUUUGUCUCUAUGCCUUAACUCUGAGUGGUGGUACCAAAGCACCCAUAAAUAACAUAUAAGUGAAAAGGAGCUGUUGAUCUCUAAUAAAAUAUUUUUUUCAAAAUCUAGUAGAUGGCUGGAUUUGGAGUUUGGACCAUAAUAUUUGCAGUAUUCUCUUAGCCCAUUUGAUUUGUGAUGCCAAAUUUAUUUAUAAAGCAAGUUCACAUAAACAUGAAGGUUUUCAUUCUCCUCUUAGUAGAAGCCAUUUGCACAUAUCUUUUCCAUGCCUUCUUUACCUAUUCUUCAUUUACUUAUACCUACUUCAUUUGGCUUAAACACUGCUUCCUCUGGAGGCCUUUCUAUUGUAACUGAAAAGGGUAGGGGGCUCCAAGAAAAAAAAAGAGUCAGGCAUGGUUUUUUGGCAUAAGAGAAGCCAUAUUUGGCCUAAGCUGUUUUGUGAUGGAAGCCUGGCCACAAUGCUUGCCCUUGAACAGGUCUUAAUAAUUAAUGAUCUUAAAGGAACAAAAGAAUGAAGAAACAAAAGACUUUUAUUAGGCAAGAGAUACAUUAGUUAUAAAGCAAAAAGAUACAUUAGUUAUAGAGACUCCCAGUUCUGUUUCAGUGGUAAAAAUUAGCCUAAAGGGCUCAACCAUUGGAUCAACUAGAACCUAAGGAAUGACAAUGUUGACCUGCUCUGACUCUUGUGACAUCAAUGAAAUAAAGUCUGGACUCUGCCCAAGCCCUUUCAUGAAUAUGCUUGUACUUUUAGCUUAAAAUAUUCCCAGUUGUGCUGUUUGGGGAGAUACUGGUUUGGAAAAGAUUCUCCGAGUUGUCCUUUCUUGCUGCAAGUAAUAAAUCUUUCUCCUGCUCUUUGGUUUGGUUGUGUCUGUUGACUCAACUCCCACCAAGAGGUGAAUCCAGUUUUCAGGUAACACUAUAUAUUGAAGAAUCCUUUCUUACACACCCUUAUAGAAUCAUGUUUCUUUACGCUGAAUCACUCAGCCCCAUCUUUAAUUACACAAUUAGGGUGGUAAUAAGUUCUUCUCUCCAACUAAGUUGUUAAUUCCCUGAGAGCUGGUGCCAUGUCUAUUUUAACUCACCAUUUUAUUUCCAGUGUCUAUUAGAGUGUCUGCACAAUAAUGUUCACUCAAUAGAUAUUUGUUGAAAGAAUGAGUGAAUCCUGUGUCAAAAAAGUUUCUGAGAAAACUAGGUCAAUUUUACAACCAAUUCAAAUCUCAAAUAAUUUCUACUUCAUAGUUGAAGUUACUCAGAGUUUUUCAAAUGCAGCUGAUAAUAAAAUCUCUUCUCUCCCUUCAACACAUUUGAUACCCUGGUUUCAUCACACCUGCUACAACCCAAUCUCCUUUAUGUUUUUAUUCUAAGGAGGAAUUCGGUCUUCUUUCAAAACUCAAGUAUACUACUUGAAAUUUUACCCACUUGGGUUUACUUAGGAGGAAAUUAUUAUCUGGGGUAAGACACUGGGUAAAAAAUAUCAUUUGUGAGAGUUCUAUUUGAUGUUGGAGAAUUUUAAGUUUUAAAGUAAUAUUUAAGGAAAAAUAAAUUAUUUUACAUUUUAAAACACUGAGGACAACUGUUCAGUGAUAAUGGUUGAAUAAUUCUUGAACCAUUUGCCUUCAGAUACCACAGAUAUACUUAAUCUUAUAAGUGAGAAAAUGUUACAUCAGUUGCUCAUAUAUACAGAGAAGAUAUAGAGUGGGAGGGAAAGUUGUUUCUUUCCCAAAUUAAGACAGAGCCAGUGCCGCAUUCAACAUGUGAUGCUCUCUGCAUUAGUACCAUUUUCAGGAAAAGUCUUGAGUCAUGUUUAGUUUCCUAUCACUUCUAUUAAUCAGUUAACUGGGGAUGUCAAGUUAUACUGCUGUUUCCUUCAUUCUGUUGUUAAAACUUUUUGUAGUAAAGUACCUAAAUAUUACCUGUUUAUCUCUUCCUUUUUUUCCUCCUACCUGUAGACUCCUCUUAUUACCCUGAAUUUCCUCAUCAAUAACCUAAUAUGCCAUCAUAUGCAAAGCAGAAAGCUAACAUUUAAACACUUGAACCUUCUGGCAUCCUCUUGCCUUGUUGGGUGUACUUUUUUCCUGGUGAUUGUUAAAAAAUAGAGCAUGUUCCUUAGUCACACUGACUAGCUGAACUAUUGAAGAUUAUAUCUCUUUCAAAUAUUACAUUCUUUUCCAGAGGGAACCCAUUAGCCAGUGAAAUUCCAAAAGAAUGCUAUAACCUAACAGCUAAGGAUGAAAAUAUCACAAAAUUUAAACUAAUCUAUCCUAAAGUGUUGUAGAUUUGUUUAACAAAUUUUCAGUUUUAGAUGAGGUUUGGAAAGAUUUAAAGUGAUUUUUUUAAAAAGCUGAAUUAGUCAAGGAUUUUAAAAGAGAUAGUAAUAAUAAUGAGAACCUGGGAGACUUAGAGGGAA